UACGGAGGGUGCGAGCGUUAUCCGGAUUCACUGGGUUUAAAGGGUGCGUAGGUGGGCAGGUAAGUCAGUGGUGAAAUCUCCGGGCUUAACCUGGAAACUGCCAUUGAUACUAUCAAUCUUGAAUACCUUGGAGGUGAGCGGAAUAUGUCAUGUAGCGGUGAAAUGCUUAGAUAUGACAUAGAACACCAAUUGCGAAGGCAGCUCACUACACGGUCAUUGACACUGAGGCACGAAAGCGUGGGGAUCAAACAGG
rnacentral:rRNA from 1 species